rnacentral:rRNA from 1 species
AGAGUUUGAUCCUGGCUCAGAUUGAACGCUGGCGGCAUGCCUAACACAUGCAAGUCGAACGAACCCUUCGGGGUUAGUGGCGCACGGGUGCGUAACGCGUGGGAAUCUGCCCUUUGCUUCGGAAUAACUCAGGGAAACUUGUGCUAAUACCGGAUGAUGUCUUCGGACCAAAGAUUUAUCGGCAAGGGAUGAGCCCGCGUAGGAUUAGGUAGUUGGUGGGGUAAAGGCCUACCAAGCCGACGAUCCUUAGCUGGUCUGAGAGGAUGAUCAGCCACACUGGGACUGAGACACGGCCCAGACUCCUACGGGAGGCAGCAGUGGGGAAUAUUGGACAAUGGGCGCAAGCCUGAUCCAGCAAUGCCGCGUGAGUGAUGAAGGCCCUCGGGUCGUAAAGCUCUUUUACCAGGGAUGAUAAUGACAGUACCUGGAGAAUAAGCUCCGGCUAACUCCGUGCCAGCAGCCGCGGUAAUACA